GAAGCUCAAGAACACUCUGGAGGUAUCUACUAUUUAAUGCUUUUGCAUCUACAACAAAAUAGAAGAUACCUAAUUUGUAGCCAUUAAUAGAAAUACCAUUUGGUAGCCUGCCAAAAUUGAAAUAAAGAAAUAGCAUGUGAAUUUUUUAGCUAUCACCAUGGUAGAAACCCAUUCCAUAUGCUUCAAAGUAGAAGAUAAAUAAUUUGUAGGCAUUAGCGGAAAGACCAAUAGCAUGUGAUUUUUUUAGCUAUCACCAUGGUAGAAACACAUUCCAUAUGCUUGAAAGUAGAAGAUAAAUAAUUAGUAUCCAUUAACGGAAAGGCCAAUCAGCGGUCAUAGCGACCUACAAGCUUUGUUAACCAAAAAAUAAUUCUCGUGUCAGAGUGAUGCAUUAGAGUAGUCUAAAAUAGUUUUUCUACCAAUUGAUCUAGAAAGAGUGCCCACACCCUUGCAGAUAUGAUCAUUAUGGUACAGUUAAAGUGAUUGUUAAGAACGUUAGUCAACAUUUUAGGUGUACUUUGGUGUUAUGUAUAUAAAACUGAAAGCCAUUUGUCCAUUCUAGAUGACAUCAUUAUUAGGUGUCAAACUGAAGACAUAUAAAUGUAUAUACAUACAUCUUGUAAAGUGGGUAGCAUACCAGGUCAUGAUAAAGCAGAGGCUACAUAUUAUGUCAAAGCUGGUAACUCGACAGUGAGAAGUCAUAAAAAUGCAAGAUUAAGACAACUGAAUUAUUGAUAGAAGAGCAGCCAGCAUAAGAUUAUUAACAAAUAUAGAUAUUGGCCAGCAUAAGAUUAUUAACCAAUGUUUUUAGUCUUAUAUGUAAUCUGUUUUCUGAUUGCUUACAUCACGGAUGGAACACGGUUUGCUAAAUGAAUGCAUGACUCGUAUUCAGUAUCCAAUGAAUGGAAAAUAGAUACUGGACAGCAUAAGAUUAUUAACCUUGCUGUCUGGCCUUCGGGGAUGCUUUAAUUAGAAAAUGAAAAUAUAUUUGCUCAACAGCUUAAAUUUUCCAUAGAGACAACAAAGAAGUGCACACAUUACUGCCCCUGAUAUUUUGACAUUGUUUCCUACCAAUAAACUCUAUGCAUUGAGACAAACUGAUAGUGAUCUACAUGUAUAUAACGGAAUACAAGAAACUGAGAAUGUGACUCUGACUCCAACUUGCAUCUCUUAUCUCAUUGCUUGAAAGAACAGAAAAGGCACAGCAGACCAAGUAGAUGGGGGCAACGAUUUUCUAAUAUUAUUAUUAAGGAACUGAUGAUUUGAUUACAUAAACUAUUCAAAAGAAAAUUGAUGAAUUGAUUACAGAAACAAUUCGUGACACACGUCAGUGCAGUGCUAGAAACAGAUCUAAUUACAAUUGAAAGACUGCAAUUGAAGGGAAGCCAAACUUACAAACUUCAGACAAUAAAUAGGAUAUUGAUCCACAAGUCCACAACCACGGAUCGAGAAUACAAUCAUAACGGUCUCCUCCGUGAGGGCGACGUCAGCAGGUUCGAUCAAUCGGGACAUGGACGAUUAAGGCGACUGAGGUGGUAGUGUUGAUUCCUCAGGACAACAACGCUGCAACGCUUGGGUAAAGCCAUGGUGGAAGCCUGGUGAGAGCGUGAGGCCUCACCUCUGAGGUGACCCUCAUGAACGUCUAGGGCAUGUGCUGCCGUUCGGGACGAUCGGGAGAGAGGACGGUCGGGAAUUCGGUAGAGAGCAGUCGCUGGCCGCCAAAAGAUGUAGCUAGGUCGCGCGUAGAGCUCAAGAGAGAAUCAGGGCGGCGCUGGGUGUCGUCAGAUUGGAAAGAAAAGUAUAUUGGGGGAGAACGGAGGUUAGAGAUGAUACGUUUAUUUUAUUGAUGGCAUAGGUGGGUAAUUAUUUUGCAAUUCUAGAUAAACGGCUGAUGUCUUCUGAUGUAUCGAAUAAAUGGCA
rnacentral:lncRNA from 1 species